rnacentral:rRNA from 1 species
GUGGGGAAUCUUGCGCAAUGGGCGAAAGCCUGACGCAGCCAUGCCGCGUGAAUGAUGAAGGUCUUAGGAUUGUAAAAUUCUUUCACCGGGGACGAUAAUGACAGUACCCGGAGAAGAAGCUCCGGCUAACUUCGUGCCAGCAGCCGCGGUAAUACGAAGGGGGCUAGCGUUGCUCGGAAUUACUGGGCGUAAAGGGCGCGUAGGCGGACAGCUUAGUCAGAGGUGAAAGCCCAGGGCUCAACCUUGGAAUUGCCUUUGAUACUGGCUGUCUUGAGUUUGGGAGAGGUGAGUGGAACUCCGAGUGUAGAGGUGAAAUUCGUAGAUAUUCGGAAGAACACCAGUGGCGAAGGCGACUCACUGGCCCAAUACUGACGCUGAGGUGCGAAAGCGUGGGGAGCAAACAGGAUUAGAUACCCGAGUAGUCC